rnacentral:rRNA from 1 species
CCUACGGGAGGCAGCAGUGGGGAAUUUUCCGCAAUGGGCGAAAGCCUGACGGAGCAACGCCGCGUGAGGGAUGAAGGCCUCUGGGCUGUAAACCUCUUUUAUCAAGGAAGAAGAUCUGACGGUACUUGAUGAAUAAGCCACGGCUAAUUCCGUGCCAGCAGCCGCGGUAAUACAUAGGGUGCAAGCGUUGUCCGGAAUUAUUGGGCGUAAAGAGCUCGUAGGUCGUUUGUCGCGUCGAUUGUGAAAAUCUGAGGCUCAACCUCAGACCUGCAGUCGAUACGGGCAAACUAGAGUGUGGUAGGGGAGACUGGAAUUCCUGGUGUAGCGGUGGAAUGCGCAGAUAUCAGGAGGAACACCAAUGGCGAAGGCAGGUCUCUGGGCCAUAACUGACACUGAGGAGCGAAAGUGCGGGGAGCGAACAGGAUUAGAUACCCUGGUAGUCCGCACCGUAAACGGUGGGCACUAGUUGUGGGAACCUUCCACGGUUUCCGCGACGCAGCAAACGCAUUAAGUGCCCCGCCUGGGGAGUACGAUCGCAAGAUUAAAACUCAAAGGAAUUGACGG